rnacentral:rRNA from 1 species
CCUACGGGAGGCAGCAGUGGGGAAUAUUGCGCAAUGGGCGAAAGCCUGACGCAGCGACGCCGCGUGAGGGAUGAAGGUCUUCGGAUCGUAAACCUCUGUCAGCAGGGAAGAACGGUCACUGUGCUAAUCAGCAGUGAAUUGACGGUACCGGCAAAGGAAGCACCGGCUAACUCCGUGCCAGCAGCCGCGGUAAUACGGAGGGUGCGAGCGUUAAUCGGAAUUACUGGGCGUAAAGCGCUCGUAGGCGGCAUGUCAAGGCAAGGGUGAAAUCCCCGCGCUCAACGUGGGAACUGCCUUUGAAACUGGAAAGCUGGAGUGUGUGAGAGGAUAGUGGAAGUCCAGGUGUAGGAGUGAAAUCCGUAGAUAUCUGGAGGAACAUCAGUGGCGAAGGCGACUAUCUGGCACAUAACUGACGCUGAGGAGCGAAAGCGUGGGUAGCAAACAGGAUUAGAUACCCUAGUAGUC